rnacentral:rRNA from 1 species
UACGAACCGUCCAAACGUUACUCGGAAUCACUGGGCUUAAAGGGUGCGUAGGCCGCGCGGAGGGUGGGAUGUGAAAUCCCCCGGCUCAACCGGGGAAUCGCGUCCCGAACCGCCGUGCUCGAGGGAGACAGAGGUGAGCGGAACUGAUGGUGGAGCGGUGAAAUGCGUUGAUAUCAUCAGGAACACCAGUGGCGAAAGCGGCUCACUGGGUCUUUCCUAACGCUGAGGCACGAAAGCUAGGGGAGCGAACGGG